rnacentral:rRNA from 1 species
UACAGGGGGUGCAAACGUUGCUCGGAAUCAUUGGGCGUAAAGCGCACGUAGGCGGUUCGUUAUGUCGGAUGUGAAAGCCCUUGGCUUAACCGAGGAAGUGCAUCCGAAACUGGCGAGCUAGAGUACUAAAGAGGAUCGCGGAAUUCCCGGUGUAGAGGUGAAAUUCGUAGAUAUUCGCAAGAACACCAGUGGCGAAGGCGGCUCACUGGCUCGGUACUGACGCUGAGGUGCGAAAGCGUGGGGAGCAAACAGG